CCUACGGGAGGCAGCAGUGGGGAAUAUUGCACAAUGGGGGAAACCCUGAUGCAGCGACGCCGCGUGAAGGAAGAAGUAUCUCGGGAUGGAAACUUCUAUCAGCAGGGAAGAAAAUGACUGUACCUGACUAAGAAGCCCCGGCUAACUAUGUGCCAGCAGCCGCGGUAAUACGGAGGCUGCAAGCGUAAUCCGGAUUUACUGGGUGUAAAGGGAGAGUAGGCGGUUUAGCAAGUCAGAAGUGAAAGCCUGGGGCUAAACUCCGAGACUGCUUUUGAAACUGUUGAACUAGAUUGCAGGAGAGGUAAGUGGAAUUCCUAGUGUAGCGGUGAAAUGCGUAGAUAUUAGGAGGAACACCAGUGGCGAAGGCGGCUUACUGGACUGUAAAUGACGCUGAGGCUCGAAAGCGUGGGGAGCAAACAGGAUUAGAUACCCCGGUAGUC
rnacentral:rRNA from 1 species